rnacentral:tRNA from 1 species
CUCGGAGUGGUCUAGUUGGUUCAUGGCGUUCGACUGUAAUUGCUUAACAAAUUGUCAUCGAAAAGUCGGCGGUUCGACUCCGUCCUCUGAGA